rnacentral:rRNA from 1 species
CGCUGGCGGCAGGCCUAACACAUGCAAGUCGAACGGUAACAGGAAACAGCUUGCUGUUUCGCUGACGAGUGGCGGACGGGUGAGUAAUGUCUGGGAAACUGCCUGAUGGAGGGGGAUAACUACUGGAAACGGUAGCUAAUACCGCAUAACGUCGCAAGACCAAAGAGGGGGACCUUCGGGCCUCUUGCCAUCGGAUGUGCCCAGAUGGGAUUAGCUUGUUGGUGGGGUAACGGCUCACCAAGGCGACGAUCCCUAGCUGGUCUGAGAGGAUGACCAGCCACACUGGAACUGAGACACGGUCCAGACUCCUACGGGAGGCAGCAGUGGGGAAUAUUGCACAAUGGGCGCAAGCCUGAUGCAGCCAUGCCGCGUGUAUGAAGAAGGCCUUCGGGUUGUAAAGUACUUUCAGCGGGGAGGAAGGGAGUAAAGUUAAUACCUUUGCUCAUUGACGUUACCCGCAGAAGAAGCACCGGCUAACUCCGUGCCAGCAGCCGCGGUAAUACGGAGGGUGCAAGCGUUAAUCGGAAUUACUGGGCGUAAAGCGCACGCAGGCGGUUUGUUAAGUCAGAUGUGAAAUCCCCGGGCUCAACCUGGGAACUGCAUCUGAUACUGGCAAGCUUGAGUCUCGUAGAGGGCGGUAGAAUUCCAGGUGUAGCGGUGAAAUGCGUAGAGAUCUGGAGGAAUACCGGUGGCGAAGGCGGCCCCCUGGACGAAGACUGACGCUCAGGUGCGAAAGCGUGGGGAGCAAACAGGAUUAGAUACCCUGGUAGUCCACGCCGUAAACGAUGUCGACUUGGAGGUUGUGCCCUUGAGGCGUGGCUUCCGGAGCUAACGCGUUAAGUCGACCGCCUGGGGAGUACGGCCGCAAGGUUAAAACUCAAAUGAAUUGACGGGGGCCCGCACAAGCGGUGGAGCAUGUGGUUUAAUUCGAUGCAACGCGAAGAACCUUACCUGGUCUUGACAUCCACAGAACUUUCCAGAGAUGGAUUGGUGCCUUCGGGAACUGUGAGACAGGUGCUGCAUGGCUGUCGUCAGCUCGUGUUGUGAAAUGUUGGGUUAAGUCCCGCAACGAGCGCAACCCUUAUCCUUUGUUGCCAGCGGUCCGGCCGGGAACUCAAAGGAGACUGCCAGUGAUAAACUGGAGGAAGGUGGGGAUGACGUCAAGUCAUCAUGGCCCUUACGACCAGGGCUACACACGUGCUACAAUGGCGCAUACAAAGAGAAGCGACCUCGCGAGAGCAAGCGGACCUCAUAAAGUGCGUCGUAGUCCGGAUUGGAGUCUGCAACUCGACUCCAUGAAGUCGGAAUCGCUAGUAAUCGUGGAUCAGAAUGCCACGGUGAAUACGUUCCCGGGCCUUGUACACACCGCCCGUCACACCAUGGGAGUGGGUUGCAAAAGAAGUAAAAGGCUUAACCUUCGGGAGGGCGCUUACCACUUUGUGAC